AUCACUUCUCGGCCUUUUGGCUAAGAUCAAGUGCAAAGCCACUUGCAGCCUCACUCAUAUUUUCCAGAUGAUUUUUUUGCUUGCAUCUUGAAAAAUCAUUAAUACAUGUCUGUAUGACUUACAGUCUGUAUUAGAUGACA
ensembl:snRNA U2 U2 spliceosomal RNA